AAGUUGGUUCGAGAAAGGGAAAAGCAUGAAAUCAAUCCGAAACAGAAAGGAAUGAAAAGCCCCCCAAAAUUCCCCUAAUUUGACUUGACCAUAAACCCAUCCUACUCCAUUCUCAGCCAACAGUUUCCAAUUCCAUGCCUCUCCACCGCCCCUCUAUAUAGUGCGCCACCGCAGCCACCGCCACCGCCACGCCUCAUGUUCCGCAGACUCCUCCUCUGCACCUCUUCCCCUUCUCUCUUCCCUUUCAAAUUACCCAUUUCCCUCCCUCCCAGACCGCUAUUUUCCCCAAUUGUCUCCCCUACCCCUCGCCUCUCCCUCUCUCUCUCCCGUAUGUCGCGGCAACCCUCCGUCCCCAUCCCUUCCCUCAACAAAGCCGACCGCUCAGAAGUCAUCCGCGCCUUGGAGGCCACCUUGGGUUCCUCCUUCAGCUCCGAGUCCAUUGCCCCCACCCCCCGCCCCUUAAUCGUCGUCAUUAGCGGGCCCAGUGGGGUCGGCAAGGACGCCGUCAUCAGUCGGCUCAGAGAAGUCCGCAAUAACCUCCACUUCGUAGUCACCGCCACGAGCCGCGCCAAACGUCCCGGCGAGGUGCACGGGAAAGACUAUUACUUCGUGUCCAAGGAUGAGUUUUUGAAAAUGGUUGAGAGGAACGAGUUGUUGGAGCACGCGCUUGUCUAUGGAGACUACAAGGGGAUUCCAAAGCAGCAGGUCCGGGAGUACAUGGCGAGAGGUUACGACAUCGUUUUGAGGGUGGAUAUUCAGGGCGCCGAGACGCUGAGGAGGAUUCUUGGGAACUCCGCGGUUUUCGUGUUCCUGGUGGCGGAGAGCGAAGCAAAGAUGGUGGAGAGGCUGGUGGAGAGGAGGACGGAGAGCAAGGAAGAGCUGCUAGUGAGGAUCGCGACGGCGAGGGAGGAGGUGAGGCACGUGAGGAAUUUCGAUUACGUGGUGGUGAAUGCCGACGGGGAGCUGGAGAGAGCGGUGAGGUUGGUGGAAGCUAUAAUUGACUCCGAGAAGGCCAAGGUGCGGCAGCGAAGUGCAGUAAUAUAGCUCGCGGCCACCUCCGGAUUGUUGGUGAGGAUAGUGAACCGGAUAUAAUUGAUGGUGUAGGUGCUGAAACAUGGCAUGUAAUAAGAACCACCAUGUGUUUAGAGACAUCUAAUCUUAAUCUCACCAAUACAUUACAGUCUUAUAUUCAUAUUUACAGUUUGCUCAAUCAAAUACACUGGGGAUGCAAAUUGUCAAAUAUACCAAUAAUAAAUUCAUACAAAUCAGAAACACACUGGGGAUGCAAAUCUAGAAAUAUACAAAAACCAAAAUACAUUACAGAAAUGCAAAACAUAAUACCCGGUAAUGGUGGUUGCUUGAAAUUGACUGCACCUGAGAAAAUCAGCCAAAAACAAAAUUAAAACAAGUCAAAACAAGGCAAUCUGGGUCGUCCUAAUUAAGCACAAAACCCUCAAGUCAAAAUGCUUCACCGAGAGCUUAACAGAUUCAUCAAACUAGGGUUGCAAGAGAUUUGGAGAGGAGACGAACCUGAAGGAGAAGAAGGUCGCGCUAAGUGCUGAAGGAAGCAACCCAGUAUGGAGCGUCACUCUGCUUCUAUGCGAAGAAAAGAUGAGAGGAAGAAUCGGUAUGGAACUACCGUUACAAAGAGAAAUAGAGAAAGGAGCAAGAAACGGGGGAGGAAAGGGAGAAGAAGAUCGCGCGCACCUGAUUUGAGGAGAGAAACUGUGGGUUUGAUCUGAUUUUGCGUGAAGGAGAAGAAGAGAUGAAGAAUCGGUGCUCGAUCGAAAAUGAGAGAAAGAGAGAAAGGGGGAGAGAAAGAAGCGGGGAGGGAUAUGAGAGAGAGAUAAAAUAAAAUAAAGCCGUUGCAUAUUAAAACUACAAUAAAAUAAACGGUUGAAGGUGUAACAGUAGUCCUUCAGGACUACAAAUUUGAAGGAAGAGGAAGAAAUACUGUAGCUCAAAACUUGAGAUAAACCCCUUUGCCGAAUCCAAUGCAGGUGAAUUUCAUCCAGAUUCAUCAAAUUUUGAAGAUGCAUUUGCUUUUGAUGAAGCCAAUGCCAGUGUUCUAAGUACACAAAUCACGCAUCCAGACACCGUGGGAAUAAACAUAUGGCUUCAGGCUUCACCCUCUGUUGUACGAGUAAUGCUACAUACAGUCGUUGAGUGCGUAAGCACCGCACGAUUGUUUUGAAAAAAAGUUGCAUAAGGCCAUCUAUGGACUUUGUCAAUCACCACGUGCAUGGUACUCCAGACUAAGCUGCCGUUUGGUUGAUCUCGGGUUCACAAUUGUCUCAACUGAUCCCUCACUAUUUUUAUGAACAACCAAGUCCAGCACAAUCUUUGUUCUUGUUUAUGUCGAUGACCUGCUGAUCACUGGUUCCUCAACCUCUCAUAUCUCUGAGAUAAUCACCAAUUUGUGAAGUGAUUUUUCUAUUACCGAUAUCGGUAACUUGCAUUACUUCCUCAGUGUUAAAGUAACCCUAAUGUCAAACGGUUUGCUCUUAACCCAACAUAAGUACAUUCUCGAUCUGUUCACGAGGACCAAUAUGUUGCUUGCCAAACUAGUGAAGACUCCUAUGGCCACCUUUGAAAAAUUGAGUGCUUUUAUAGGACAUAUCUUUGAAGACCCUACUCUAUACCGCAGCACUGUCGACUGACUUCAAUACUUGUCUUUGACAAGGCCUGAUUUAGCUUAUUUGGCAAGGUGUGUCAAUGUAUGCAUGCCCCCCAUAUACCCCAUUGGCAAGCAGUCAAGCGCAUCUUGCGCUAUCUCAAACAUACAUCAUAGGUUGGCUUGCACAUUUCACCAUCUUCAAGCCUUAAUCUCACUACAUUCUCCGACGCCGACUGGACAAGGUGUCCCAAUGAUUGCCGAUCACAAGUGGUUUUUGUGUCUUUUUUGGUGAUAACUUAGUAUCUUGGUCUUCGAAGAAACAACCUACUGUAGCCCGUUCUUCAAUUGAGGUUGAGUUUAAGGCUGUUGCCAACACCACAGCAGAGGUUAUUUGGCUUCAACAUCUUUGCCGCAACUUGGAUAUUAAUCUUACUUGUGCUCCUCUGAUUUAUUGUGAUAAUAUGGGUGCGACUCACCUUUCCUCCAAUCCGGAUUUCCAUACCAGAACAAAACAUGUUCAGAUCGACUUUCACUUUGUACGUGAUCGGGUCUUAAAUAAAUCUCUGCAAGUGGUUUUCAUUUCUGACAAAGAUCAAAUCGCCGAUGCUCUAACAAAGCCUCUCUCCGCUGCACGAUUUGCUUCUAUGAGUUCAAGUCUGUGCUUGCACCACUUGCCGCUUGACUUGAGAGGGGAUGUCAAGGCUAAUAUUGUCUCAACAAUAAAGUCUAGCUCACAAGCCUCACGGCCAAAGGGCAGAAUCACGUAACAACCAUCUGCUGCAUGCACCGGUGUACAUCAUUCCUUUUGUAAUAAACCUAGGUCUAGAAUAUUCGAUCAUGUACAGCAUUUCAUUUUGCUAUAAAUGUGUCAAUCAUAACUGUAAAACAUUGAGAGAAAUUAAUAUAGAAAAGCAGAGGAACCUUUACUUCAA